UGGUCAAUGAUAAGACCCAAACUUGUCUUGAAGAGAUAUGAUUACAUAAAAGUCAUCAUCAUAGAAUUACCCUGUGGCCC